rnacentral:rRNA from 1 species
UACGGAGGGUGCGAGCGUUGUCCGGAAUCACUGGGCGUAAAGGGCGCGUAGGUGGCGCGGGCAGUCAACGGUGAAAGUUCGGGGCUCAACCCUGAAUCGGCCGUCGAUACUCCCGGGCUUGAGCACUGUAGAGGCAGAUGGAAUUCCGGGUGUAGCGGUGGAAUGCGUAGAGAUCCGGAAGAACACCGGUGGCGAAGGCGGUCUGCUGGGCAGUGAGC